CCUACGGGAGGCAGCAGUGAGGAAUAUUGGUCAAUGGGCGCGAGCCUGAACCAGCCAAGUCGCGUGAGGGAAGACGGUCCUAUGGAUUGUAAACCUCUUUUGUCGGGGAGCAAAAGACGCCACGCGUGGCGUUCCGAGAGUACCCGAAGAAAAAGCAUCGGCUAACUCCGUGCCAGCAGCCGCGGUAAUACGGAGGCUGCGAGCGUUAUCCGGAUGUAUUGGGUUAAAGGGGCGCGCAGGGGGAAGAUCAAGUGAGCGGUAAAAUUGCGGGGCCAAACCUCUUCGAGCCGUUGAAACUGGUUUUCUUGAGUGAGCGAGAAGUAUGCGGAAUGCGUGGUGUAGCGGUGAAAUGCAUAGAUAUCACGCAGAACUCCGGUUGCGAAGGCAGCAUACCGGCGCUCAACUGACGCUCAUGCACGAAAGUGUGGGUAUCGAACGGGAUUAGAUACCCGGGUAGUC
rnacentral:rRNA from 1 species